GUGGCGGUGGUGUAAUGGUAUCAUGCAAAGUUCCCAUUCUUCUGAACCAGGUUCAAUUCCCGGCUGGCGCA